GUGUGCUGCUGGAUUGCUUUCUACAUUGUAUGCUGGACCCUGUGGGCAGGAAAGGGUCAACCAGAGCAAGCACCUGACACCCUGCAUAGGGUUAUUGUGAAGGGUCGAGCACUCCGAAUUUUGCAAAUAAUGAAAAAUUAGCAAUAACAAUCCAGUUGUAGCCUUACAGA